CGCAAGCGGAGCGCCCCCCACCCUUGGAUGUGACAUUCGUGGGAGACAGAGGACUCUUGGACCAUGUGCGUAACUCUAGCGUGGGACGUUGCAAUCCUCGGAUUGAAGAAGGGAGGGGUGGAAAUAACCCCGACAGUGUCAGGCUUGUUGGUUGUCAGGGACAGAGGAUUCCAGCCCUGGGCUGAUCAUCUGCCUUCCACCUCCCAUUUAGACUAACACAGCCCGUGCUGCUGUCUCUUGUACUUACUGUAAAGGACCCUGGAAGAGGGAGUGGUUCAUCCUAGCUGCAAACAAGGGCGCUAUUUUUUUUUUCUUAAGAAUUACGUUUUAUAAGUAUGUUUGGGCGAUACAAGGGAAUGUGAACGACUUUCAGAGAGAUUGUGAACGUAUUUGGUGUGUACUAGAAAGCUGGAAAUCCCUAAAUAAAUGCAGUAACGGUAGAAAGCAAGUUUCUUGAAGAGUCACCUGCUAAACUCCACUAGCGUCAUCUCUACAGUGGAGUGCCUAUUUCCUCUUCAUUUAUUUGGUCUGGAGAGACUUCAGAUGUCACCAUUCUUCUCACUGAGAGUGUCAUUGUGGAAACCCUGUCUGUUUUCCCUAUGCAUCCUCCACUUUCACUUCCCCAAGCCUAUACUUAACAUGUAGUGGGGACUUCUCUGGUGGCGCAGUGGUUAAGAAUCUGCCUGCCAAUGCAGGGGACACGGGUUCGAGCUCUGGUCUGGAAAGAUCCCACAUGCGUGGAGAAACUCAGCCUGUGCGUCGCAACUCCUGAGCCUGCGCUCUAGCGCCUGCAAACCACAGCUACUGAAGCCCGCAUGCCUAGAGCCCGUGCUCCACAACAAGAGAAGCCACCAAAAUGAGAAGCCCGUGCACCACAACGAAGAGUAUCGCCUGCUCGCUGCAACUAGAGAAAGCCCGUGCGCAGCAACGAAGACCCAAUGCAGCCCAAAAUUAAUUAAUUAAUUAAUUUAAAAAAUGUAAUGGGCAUUAAAUAAAUGUGUGGGGUUUGCAUAAAUGGAUUCUAGUUUUGCGUCAUAAGGAAUCCUAUCUAAUCUUAUCCUAUCUAUUCUGUAUCUAUUUAAUCAUUUAAUGUCAGCCAUAUUAAACAAGGAUGAAAUAUAGUUAUAGUAGAAGCUUUGGGGUCGGCUUUCUCUGGUUAAUUUCUGGUUCUAUGUCAUAUAAAUUUACUUUUUUUAUUUACCUUGCAGAAAAUCUUACUUUAUUUAUCUUGCAGAAAUUUGUUGUAAGGAGGAAAUAAAAUAAUAGAGGUGAAAUUCCAAGCAUUUUAUCAGGUGCAGAAUAGCUGUUUAUAGUUUAAGGAAUUUUUAUAUGCCAAAUUCUCUGCUUAAUGACUCAGGUCAUUUCUCUAAAUUUUCUCUCAACUAUUUGAUAGAGGCUCUAUUAUUAUUGUCAUUUUACAGGUGAUAAAUUUGACACAAAGAUGAUUAAGUAAUUUUCUUAAGUCCUACACUUAUUAAGUCAUUUCAAGAGCCCUGUAAUCACUACCCUAUAGUGCUUAAUAAAUAUUCACUCUUUAUCUUUUUGCUUAGGUUCAGGUUCUGUGCUACAUCUUGAUGAUACAAAGAUGAGUAAGAAAAAAUUGCUGAUAUUCUAGUGGAGAAAAAGAAGGUAUAGAAAAGAGUCGAUUUUUACAAAAUUUUUCAUCCAUUCUUGGUAAUGAAAUCUGAUAUUGGCAGAAAAUAUACUAUGCCCCAAAGGUACAUUAUAUUCCAAAUUUAUCCAUAUGCAGUUCCAGAUAAUUACAUUAGAUUCCAAUUUUAAGUUAAAUUGCUAGUAUGAAGUAUGGUGUUUAUUUUGACAUCAAAAGUAGAUGAGAAUCUUUAUCACAAGGAAGUUAAGGUUUUACUUAGUUUCAAUUAUGUCCACAUAGACAAAGUGAAAUGAGUCACAACUUGAGAAGAUGAGAAAAGGGAAUUGUUGAGAGAAUUUUAAAAAGCAGGCUUACACAGUUUCAUAACACUAUAAAAUUUCCCAGACUCCUUAACUUGUGUGCUGUUUCUUAUUCUCAGAAAACUUUUUUUAAAAAGGAAUACGGGGCUUCCCUGGUGGCGCAGUGGUUGAGAGUCCGCCUGCCGAUGCAGGGGACGCGGGUUCAUGCCCCGGUCCGGGAAGAUCCCACAUGCCGCGGAGCGGCUGGGCCCAAGAGCCGUGGCCGCUGAGCCUGCGCGUCCGGAGCCUGUGCUCCGCAACGGGAGAGGCCACAACAGUGAGAGGCUCGCGUACCGCAAAAAAAAAAAAAAAAGAGUACGAAAGUGUAGAACAAUUAAUCAGUUAGCAAUUUAUAAAUUAAUCAAAUUUAUAAUCUAUAACUAUAAAUUAUAUAGUAAUGUAUAAUUUAUAAUUUACUUACUGAUAUUAGGUGUGAGGGUUGGUAAUGGAUGGAAGGUAAAGGAAGUUCUGCUAAAGGUUCAAGUUUUAUUGACUGGUGUAAGACCAGUUAUGUUAAUAAGGACACACAUCAAUUUUACAAACCCAAGUAUUAAGAUAAAAGGUAGUAAUAAUAAUUAUAUUUUGAGAACAGAUCCAGAGGCUGGAAAAGCUAAAACCAUGGUGUUGAUUCAAUCUAUAGUCUAGUACACUGGUAUGUAGGAAUUUUGAAAAUUUGUUACCAUUGGCAAGAAAGAAAAGAAGUCAAAUAUGUUUAGUUAUAGACUGGUAGACUGGUAAAUCAAAUGUUAUAGUGGGUUAUGCCCCAAAUGGAGAAAAUCAAGUAAAAAUUUAUUUCUAAGUGUACGGAACUUUCAAAAUGUUGAACACAAUAUGUUAAAGCAAUUGCAAAAUGGCUACAUGCAUUAUAGGUAAAUCAAAUAUAUCUAUUCUACUGUUGCCAGAGGAAUUUGAAAAAAAUCUUAAGUAUAUUUUCUCUUGAAGAUAUGUUACAAAGUAGAGGUAAAUAACAUGAGCAAUAAUUUGUUAGAAAUACUCAGCUAUGCAGUAUGCCCCUUAGGAUUUUCACACAAAACAAAAUAAUACUGAAUAAACUAUUGAACAUAGUUUAUCUGUGAUGAGAACAUGCAACCCAUAGCUGAAUUUUAAAAUGGAAUAAGCAAGCAAAUAUACAUCUUAUUUUCAGGUUGUGUGUGUGUGUGGUUUGUUAAUGGGUUUAAAAUGCAAAAAGCUAAGGCAUAAUAUAAUUUGGUAGGGGCAAGAUCUGAAUCACUAUAUACUAAAAUUUCACCUGUAUUUUCCCAAACAUACCUUACAUCCAUCUUUCAGACUAUACAGUGCCCAUUCUAAUACUUCUAUGUAACCAACACAAAUGUAUGCUUGACUCAAGAAAUAUAAGUUAUCUAUAUGUGGACAGAGGAAAACACUUAAAUUCAGUAAUGGCUUUCAACACUAAUGAACUGGAUCCCCCCUACCCAGUGGAGGAAUUUGAUUUACCAAAGCUGUUAAGACACAUACAGUUCUAUGCAUAUAUAAACAUCUAAGCAGACGCGUGUUUCAACUAUGAAAGAGAAUAGGUUCAAGUGGACAAAAAAGUCAGGAGAAGAGAGCCAUACAACUGAUAAUUCUACAAAUCCCUUUUUGUAAUGAAUAUUUAUUGAUCCUCCCCGGAUUAAAAGUAUUCUUUGUGCCGCCGAGGCAAUAGCAAUGAAAAAAGCAGCUAGGGUGCUAGUACUCAAAGCUCAUAGGGACUGUAUAGCACAGGGAAUUCUACUCAGUAUUCUGUAAUGACCUAUAUGGGAAAAGAAUCUAAAAUAGAAUGGCUAUAUGUAUAUGUAUAACUGAUUCACUUUGCUGUGCAACUGAAACUAACACAACAUUGUAAAUCAAAUGUACUGUAAUAAAAAAAUGUCAAUGUCACAUUGACUCAAGUUAUCUAUGAAUGUCUGCAUUUAGUAAUCUCAUUAAGUAGAUAUCAGAUUGGUAUAAGAUGAGAGAAAAGGAAAACUCUUGACAGUAGCAUUGGUUCCAGGGAAAAGCGUAAGUAGCCUUCCUUGUAAUCUAACAAGCUUGAAAAUUCUAGACCUUCAGAAAACAUUUCUUAACCAAGCAAGAUAAAUGAGUACAUGCCAAAGCAAAAGUCAAUCAGAGUGACAAUAACUCACUAAUGUGGUGUAAAAAGAGAAAACAGAAAAAUAAACUCACGCCUACAAUACUAUAGAUUUGGUAAAGCACAUACACAACAAAAUAAGGCAAAAGAUAAAACAAUUCUUUCUUCUGAGCAACAUUUCAUCUUCGACUAAAGGUAUCUGAAUGAAAACCAAAGUAUUUUCAAAUGUUCAUAUGCUAUCCUUAAGGUAUUUCAGAAGAGACAAAGAUUAAUUGACAUCUAAGUCAUUGCUAAAGUUUGAAGGGUGACUUUUAAUUUAUUUUUCAAAAAAAUCAGAAUUUUAUUGAAAUAAUUUAGCUUGCAAUGUGUGUGUGUAUAUAUAUGUGUAUGUGUGUAUAUAUAUAUAUAUAUAUAUAUAUACACUAUAUAUAUAUACACACACACAUACAUACAUAUAGACAUGCAUACAUAUAUGCACUUGCCCCAGCUCUUAUUCUGGGGCAAGAUGAGUUCAUUUCAAAGGCAUAGUCUUUUUGUAGUUGCAAUUGUUUCAGUGAGCUUUUAGUGAUAUCUCUAAACACUAGAUGGUUAGAAUGCCCAUGUCUUCUGAACAGUGUGAACCACCCAUUUAGCUCAUAGCCUUCCAGUAACAAUUUUCUCCCAGGCAUCACAGUGUUUCACUCUGUACAUGCAUAGCUGUGUAUUUGGCCAAACAUUAAAACGACUUCUAUGUGGACUUUUGGUACUUUUCUUCCAUUUGUUCUCUGCAAGAUUUUAGUACUCUUAUUCUGUUUGCUCUUUUCUCUCCAAAACCCUGAUUUGAAAAUUUUAUUCAUCUCCAGACUCCCAAAAUUUGAUAUGUUUCUUCUGCCAUUAAGAUAGCUGAUCUCAGUCAGGAUUCCACCUUUUUGUGCUGUUUUAUGAAAUAGGAUCUGAGGCAGAAAGCCAUGCUGUAUUAUACCCCAGCUUACAUGCUUUCCUUAUCAAACAAAUGACAGACUUGGGGUGUUCCGUGUCCCAGGCCUGAAAAACUGUUGUUUCAUAGAAUGUGUUUAGUGUUAUCUUUGUUUACUAUGGAUAAGCAUUCUUAUCCAUCGUAAACUUCUUAUCCAAGUCUGGAUAAGCAUUCUUCUAUCACAACUGGAACCAGAACUGCCCAAGUUACGAAGAUGUAAAAGAAAAAAUUAUUCACUUAGUGUAUCUUUGGCUUCCAGGAUUCAUGCUU